UCUAUGCAGCAGGAACUCUUCUAGUAUUACUGUGCUGGAGCUGAGCUAACCUGGAUCAACCAGAACACAGGUUUGGGGCUUCUAGAAAAAUUCUUGUCUGAAUUGCAUACAUAGUUGCCUGGUUUUCUCUGAUGUGGUUAUGCUGAGGACUGGAGCAGGGUGGUUCCCCCCUUCCCCCUAAAGCUUUUAAAGAAAGUCUAGCUUGUGAAAAUAAAUCCAGAAAUGCCAGGUA